AUGGCGAAUCUGGCGGCCCAGCUCGCUGUCGUGCUCCAAGGCUGCAUCAAGCGGAACCCAAAGCCCAGCCGCGCCCACGCCAAGGCCGCCCACGCGCGCGUCCUUGCCGGCGGCCUCGCCGCCGACACCUUCCUCCUCAACCGCCUGGUCGAGCUCUACUCGCUCUCCGGCCUCCCGCGCGACGCUCUCCGCGCCUUCCGCACCCUGCCCCACCCCAACGCCUACUCCUACAAUGCGGCGCUCUCGGCGGCCAGCCGCGCGGGCGACCUCGAUGCGGCCCGGACGCUGCUCGACGAAAUGCCCGAGCCGAACGUCGUCUCCUGGAACACCGUCAUCUCCGCGCUCGCGCGGUCCGAGCGCGCGGGCGAGGCGCUGGGCCUCUACGAAGGGAUGCUGCGGGAGGGCCUCGUCCCGACGCACUUCACGCUCGCCAGCGUGCUCAGCGCUUGCGGCUCCAUGACCGCGCUCGAGGACGGGAGGCGCUGCCACGGGCUUGUGGUCAAGGUCGGGCUUGAAGAGAACCUGUUCGUGGAGAACGCGCUCGUUGGCAUGUACACCAAGUGCGGCAGCGUCGGGGAUGCUGUGCGGCUGUUCGACCGGAUGGCUCGCCCGAACGAGGUGUCGUUCACGGCGAUGAUGGGAGGGCUGGCACAGACCGGGUCCGUGGACGACGCGCUCAGGCUGUUCGCGAGGAUGUGCAGGAGUGGGGUUCGUGUUGAUCCUGUGGCAGUGUCAAGUGUUCUAGGUUCGUGCGCACAAGCUGGCGCCAGCGAGUUCAACCUUGUUCGUGCAUUCCAGCUUGGGCAGUGCAUUCACGCUUUGAUCGUCAGAAAAGGCUUUGGGGCAGACCAGCAUGUGGGGAACUCCUUGAUCGAUAUGUACACCAAGUGCAUGCAAAUGGACGAGGCUGUCAAGGUGUUCGACUCAUUGCCCAGCGUCAGUAUUGUUUCUUGGAACAUCCUUAUAACUGGAUUUGGCCAGGCGGGCAGUUAUGAGAAGGCUUUGGAAGUAUUGAACGUGAUGAUAGAGUCGGGCUCUGAGCCCAAUGAGGUCACUUACAGUAACAUGCUCGCGUCCUGUAUUAAGGCGAGGGAUGUUCCAUCUGCUCGUGCAAUGUUCGACAAUAUAUCAAGGCCGACUUUGACUACGUGGAACACACUUUUGUCUGGUUACUGCCAGGAGGAACUGCAUCAAGAAACAAUUGAGCUGUUUAGGAAAAUGCAGCAUCAAAAUGUGCAGCCUGACCGAACAACUCUGGCCGUGAUCCUCAGUUCAUGCUCAAGAUUGGGGAAUUUGGACCUUGGAGCACAAGUUCAUUCUGCUUCAGUAAGACUCCUGUUGCAUAACGACAUGUUUGUCGCUAGUGGUUUGGUCGAUAUGUAUGCAAAAUGUGGACAGAUUAGUAUUGCCAGGAGCAUUUUCAACAGGAUGACAGAGAGAGAUGUGGUGUGUUGGAAUUCCAUGAUCUCAGGUUUGGCUAUCCAUUCUUUCAACAAAGAGGCCUUUGAUUUCUUCAAGCAGAUGCGACAAAAUGGAAUGAUGCCCACAUCCUCCUCCUAUGCUACCAUGAUUAAUUCAUGUGCAAGACUUUCUUCCGUACCUCAAGGUAGGCAGAUACAUGCACAAGUUGCGAAAGAUGGUUAUGAUCAGAAUGUCUAUGUGGGUAGUGCCCUGAUUGAUAUGUAUGCUAAAUGUGGCAACAUGGACGAUGCACGCCUUUCCUUCGACAGCAUGGUGACUAAGAAUAUAGUUGCAUGGAAUGAGAUGAUACAUGGAUAUGCUCAGAAUGGUUUCGGAGAAAAAGCCGUUGAACUAUUUGAGUAUAUGUUAACUACAGAACAGCGGCCAGAUAGUGUCACUUUCAUUGCCGUCCUAACAGGAUGUAGUCACUCCGGGCUCGUAGAUGAAGCCAUUGCAUUCUUUAAUUCCAUGGAGAGUACUUACAGAAUUACACCACUGGCUGAGCAUUACACUUGUCUCAUAGAUGGAUUGGGGCGAGCGGGUCGGCUUGUUGAAGUGGAGGCACUAAUAGAACAGAUGCCAUGCAAAGAUGAUCCUAUUGUGUGGGAAGUUCUACUUGCUGCCUGUGCUGUACAUCACAAUGCUGAAUUGGGGGAAUGUGCCGCGCAGCACCUGUUCCACCUUGAUCCAAAGAACCCAUCACCCUAUGUUCUCUUGUCAAACAUAUAUGCUUCCUUAGGCCGACAUGGGGAUGCAUCAGGCAUUAGGGCAUUGAUGAUUAGCCGUGGAGUUGUCAAAGGUCGUGGAUACAGCUGGAUAGAUCACAAGGAUGAUGUUCGUGCCUUUAUGGUUGCUGAUGAUCUUCAGACGGUCAGUGGAGAAUCAAAAAUGUUCAGCAAUCAAGAGAGUGCUGCUGGGGUUACAGAAGUACACCAGAAAGAGACAUGUGCUGGUUGA
rnacentral:rRNA from 1 species